rnacentral:tRNA from 1 species
GAUGGUGUAGCUCAGCGGUAGAGCAGUUGGCUGUUAACCAACUGAUCGGUGGUUCGAAUCCACCCACCAUCGCCA